CAUAAUAUAAGAGCGUUUUUGACACUUCAAUAGAAUCUCCUGAGAAGGUACAUACCUAUCCAACUCAUGCUUCGCGGGAACAUUUUGAAAAGUUGUGUUUCAUGUCUAUGGGGAGAUAUUCUGCUUGAUAUUUAUCAUGCAUUUGCUUCCAACUCUAACGAAUAAAUAUCUAUUAUAUCAGUUUGAAACUGGUUGUGUUUACAAAAUAGUCAUUACAUCAGUUUGAAAACAGUUUCAUGGUUAGUGUUUUUAUUUAUUUUUGAAAAUGAGGAUAGACAGAUUUGUCGCUGCUGUCUCCAUCUGAGACGUACAUGAGUUCCUGCUUUCACUACUCGGCAGCUCGAGUUUACCUGUUGAAUAGCUGUUAUUGAUUGAUUCUUUCUCUUAGGGCGUCGUAAUUGUAUUUCAUUUCUUGUUACUUUGCUUCAGGCAUACACCGUGAAUGAAGAUCCUGGCAAAAACCCUCGACCACGUGUGUAUGCCUGGAAUGAGACUUCUUUUCAUGGAAAGUUGACUCAAAGGCAGAGCGAGUGACUUGACUUUGGUCAUCGGGGUCAAGUCUUGUUCGACAGAAAGUCAGAAGCAGACCAUACACCAGGGCCACCCAGUAACUGCUAGUUUAUACUCUUUGCUGGCUCCACCAUUACUUCACCUUGACUAUGUAGGCUCCGGUGCGAGCCUUGAAACUGUCUCUCUUUUUUUAAAGUAAAGUGCACGGUUAGUACAAGAAGUUGCGGCGAAAGUACAGUAUAUAUGUCAAGUUUGAAAUAUCACAGUUCAAUUAGUGAUGUUUUUAAGUGAGUGUUAAGUGGUACAGAGUGGUUGUGUUUACAGUAACCGCGCUUUGUAGUUAGUGAACAAAAUAUUCAUUAUACCAGAGUUUGUAAACUGUUUCAUGGUUGUGGUUUUUCUUAUAUUUCCUGUUAGUUCCUUGCAGAUCAUAUUUUUGUGACAUUUCCCUGGGUACAGGUCCUGGAACAAAGCAGAGUCAAAAGCACAUGUGCAUCAUUCAUGAAUAAUGUACUUCAGAUGAUGCACAGAGAGUGGCCAUGGUGUAUUCCCCUCUUCUCUUGUGGUAAAGAAGCUCUGAGCUUCAACUUCCUGUGGCUCCUUUUCUUGCUUUUUUUUAUUACAGAAAAGCAGCAAGGUAAAACCGUCUCCAUAUGAGAUAGGUAGAUAUAUUGAUUGAUUGUUGCCUCUGCAACUUGUUCAGGGAGGGUUGAACAAGUACUCAUCAAAGGCAGAGCAAGCAACUCUGACUUUAUCUUAGCAGCAACCAUACACCAAGUAUGAACUUGGGUGACGGACUUCGGUCAUCGUGGUUUGGAAUCCGUGAAUUUCCGCAGAUCCUUGUACAGAUUUUGUAGAAUUUAGUCAUCGCGCUCCCAAUAGAAUAGGUCUCAAGUCUUCUACGUCUGAGGCCAAGCAUGCACGAGGACCAGUUGGAAGCUGCUGCUAGUUUAUACUCUUUCCAUUUCCAUCAUUACUUCAUCUUGACUGUCUAGUUCCAUUGUGAGACUCGUCAUUUUGGAAAGGGCUUAUGAGAACGAAGGACUUGUUCUUUCGUAGGGUCAAAUUUUUGGUUGGCAAUGAGAUGUCAACAAGAUUUUAGGAGGAUACGUGGUUAUGAGAGACACCCCUCGCCGUAUAAUAUCCCAUCUUUUAUAACAUUGUGCAACGUAAGGAGGAUUAUAUAGGCACAGUUUUCCAGAAAAAUCCUUUGAAUAUUUAGUUCAGAUGUGCGUUAGUUGGUGAGCGAUGGACUGACUGGAUGCACUUGGUUCGGAGAUUAAUAGAUGUCAACUCUCCGACCAGCCGGAUUCGACGCAAUAGAAAUUAGCUAAAAAUGGGGUAUUUACGGUGAAAUCUUUCUAUAUGGAUUUGAUUAAUUCUGGUUCAAUCUAAAGAUCGUUGCAUAUUUGGAAGAUUAAGGUUCCCUUGCGUAUUAAAAUUUUUAUGUAGUUCGUCCAUAAGCAAGUAAUACUCAUCAAGGACAACUUAAUCAAGAGGCGAUGAGUAUGUAGUUCACAUUGUUGUUUUUGUGAUCAUGAUGAAACAAUACAACAUUUAUUCCCUGAAUGCCCACUCGCCAAAUUGCUUUGGAUAACAAUUCAUAUAGCCUUCAACAUUAAUCCUCCAGUUGACAUUGAGUCCUUGUUUGGAACGUGGUUAGCUAGGGUUGAACAUACUACUGCGACUUGUAUUCGGAUUGGAAUAUGUGCGCUUCUGUGUGCUAUAUGGAACUGUAGGAAUGAUUUGAAUGAUUUGAUUUUUAACAGACAACACACUUUAACUUUCUUGCAGGUCAUCUUCAGAGCUACCGCAUGGAUCUACUGGGUGCAACCCAGUGGGAGAUGGUAGCACGGGCUAUAUUCAACCAGUUCGAAUGACGGUCGCAUAACAGGAUAGGAGUCUAGGAAGCAUAUCCUUCAUAUUGCCGUAUCGGUUGUGAUUGUCAGCAUGUACUUUUCUUUUAUUCUUUUGCUUCGCUCCGCUUGUGGGCUGUAAUACUUUUAUGACUUUAUGAUACUUCGUGGAUUUUUUAAUAAGAUAAAUGCAUGCAUCGUCAUGAUGCAGAGGCAUUUCC
rnacentral:lncRNA from 1 species